CACACACACAUGUACUGCAAGCAGCCCUGUAAAAGAAGCUUGUAGCUGAUCCAUACCCAGUGUGUGUGUGCUCCUCUGGCGUCGUGCUGGAUGUAUGCAGGCCAACAAGGGUUAGGGAGAGAUUUGGACGUGUCCCCGUGCGCGUGUCCACUUAGGAGACACAUUUGUGCGUGCUACUGCCUGCGUGCAUUUUUAUAGAUGACCAAAAAGAGUGAUGUUCAAAGACCUUCAAGUAGGAUGCCAAGUGCCAACCGCUGUGCCGGACUGUUUGCUUUGCUUCUCCCUCUGCAGCCGUAAAAAUGAAGGGAAAUAAUCAGGAGAUAACCCACCACGCCACGCAUUCCUUCUCCUUUGUUCACUUUUAUCCCUCCGUUGGGUGGUGGUGGGGGGGUUAAUGCUCUAUUAUCAGCCUGCACACUAUAGGCUCCUGUGGUUGGGCAGUAAAAUCCCAAACCGUAUACUUCCUCCAGAGAGGGUCGUGAAGGAAAGGUACACCUUCUCAGCCAAACUCUGCACCCCCCCCCCGAGGGAAGCGGUGCGGAUGGAAGCCGAGCGGCCCGGAGCACCUGAACCAGGCCGGGCACACGACAGGAUGAGGGUGUCGGCCUCCUCCUGUUAAACGCUCGCUUCCUGCUGUUUUGCUGUUCUCUUUCUCCUCUUUUCUUUCUUUCAUCCCUCUCUUCUGGCAGGAAGUCAUUGGAGCGGAGUCAA
ensembl:lncRNA